UACGAAGGGCGCUAGCGUUGUUCGGAUUUACUGGGCGCAAAGCGCGUGUAGGCGGGUCGCUAAGUUGGGGGUGAAAUCCCGGAGCUCAACUCCGGAACUGCCUUCAAAACUGGCGACCUGGACUCAAGCAGAGGCAAGUGGAAUUGCGAGUGUAGAGGUGAAAUUCGUAGAUAUUCGCAGGAACACCAGUGGCGAAGGCGACUUGCUGGGCUGUUAGUGACGCUGAGACGCGAAAUCGUGGGGAGCAAACAGG
rnacentral:rRNA from 1 species